rnacentral:rRNA from 1 species
UACGUAGGUGGCAAGCGUUACUCGGAAUCACUAGGCGUAAAGCGCAGGUAGGAGGUUUGGUAAGUCUGUCGUGAAAUCCCCGGGCUCAACCUGGGAAUGGCGAUGGAUACUGGGCAGCUAGAGUGUGUCAGAGGAUGGUGGAAUUCCCGGUGUAGCGGUGAAAUGCGUAGAGAUCGGGAGGAACAUCAGUGGCGAAGGCGGCCAUCUGGGACAACACUGACGCUGAAGCACGAAAGCGUGGGGAGCAAACAGG